rnacentral:rRNA from 1 species
CCUACGGGGGGCAGCAGUGGGGAAUAUUGGGCAAUGGGCGCAAGCCUGACCCAGCAACGCCGCGUGAAGGAAGAAGGCCCUCGGGUUGUAAACUUCUUUUAUUCGGGACGAAACAAAUGACGGUACCGAAUGAAUAAGCUACGGCUAACCUCGUGAAAGCAGCCGCUGUAAUACGUAGGUGGCAAGCGUUAUCCGGAUGUACUGGGUGUAAAGGGCGUGUAGGCGGGAGAGCAAGUCAGACGUGAAAUUCCAGGGCUUAAACCUGGAACUGCGUUUGAAACUGUUCUUCUUGAGUGAGGGAGAGGCAGGCGGAAUGCCGGGUGUAGCGGUGAAAUGCGUAGAUAUACGGAGGAACACCGGUGGCGAAGGCAGCCUGCUGGACAUUAACUGACGCUGAGGCGCGAAAGCGUGGGGAGCAAACAGGAUUAGAUACCCGGGUAGUC